ensembl:snRNA U2 U2 spliceosomal RNA
CUCGCUUCUCGGCCCUUUGGCUAAGAUCAAGUGUAGUAUCUGUUCUUCUCAGUUUAAUAUCUGAUACAUCCUCUAUAUGAGGACUAUAUAUUACAUUGAUUUUUAGGAAGAGGGGCUUGCUCCAUCUGCUCCACACAUCGACCUGGUAUUGCAGUUCCUCCAGGAAUGGUGCGCCUCCU